rnacentral:rRNA from 1 species
GAUGAACGCUGGCGGCGUGCCUAAUACAUGCAAGUCGAGCGAACAGACGAGGAGCUUGCUCCUCUGACGUUAGCGGCGGACGGGUGAGUAACACGUGGAUAACCUACCUAUAAGACUGGGAUAACUUCGGGAAACCGGAGCUAAUACCGGAUAAUAUAUUGAACCGCAUGGUUCAAUAGUGAAAGACGGUUUUGCUGUCACUUAUAGAUGGAUCCGCGCCGCAUUAGCUAGUUGGUAAGGUAACGGCUUACCAAGGCAACGAUGCGUGGCCGACCUGAGAGGGUGAUAGGCCACACUGGAACGGAGACACGGUCCAGACUCCUACGGGAGGCAGCAGUAGGGAAUCUUCCGCAAUGGGCGAAAGCCUGACGGAGCAACGCCGCGUGAGUGAUGAAGGUCUUCGGAUCGUAAAACUCUGUUAUUAGGGAAGAACAAAUGUGUAAGUAACUAUGCACGUCUUGACGGUACCUAAUCAGAAAGCCACGGCUAACUACGUG